CCUGGGUUCAUUCGUAACGGACGUUAGCCUUUUGUAAAUAUUUGUGUUCUGUAAAUUUAUAUUUUAUUAAUUUUAUUAGAAACUGUUUCCACGGGGUUGUACGCAAUGAAUGUGAGCUGGAUUUUCUACUUCACCUUCCUGCUUCUGAUACACACAGUGUCGGUGCAGAGUGUCCCUGUUGAAGGUUUUAUAGGAGAAUCAGUGAUCGUACCGUGUUCAUUUGGAGGGAAGCUGCAGACUGUGCAUUGGCAAGACAGAUACAGCUGGGUGGUGUGUGACAUCAGUGGCGGUAAAGCAGAUUUCGAUGAUCAGCAUCCAGUCUAUAAAGACAGAGUUACAAUUUUUCCAUCAGAAAUGGAAAAGGGGAAUUUCUCCAUCAUGCUGAGCAACGUGAAGGAAUCUGAUGCAGGAACGUACAUCUGCAUCACCCCAAACAUCAAUCCAUCAACCGUGACACUAGAACUAACUGUGAAAGCUGAUGAGACACAAGCACUUGUCUAAGGACCAGGCUCCUGACCUGUUCUCUCUGGAGCUGGCUGGUAUGGAGGAGCUCGCCCGGCACUAUGGCACGGACUCCCCCCAGUUCCAGGACGCCUGAGAGAUUCUGGUAGCAGCGCUGCAGAAGUUCGCCGAUGACGUCUUCGGCGUUUGCACCAGCAGCACGGUGGUGGAGGUGGUGACGGUGAAGACGUUCGAGAUGCCGCUGACCAGGAAGUCGCGCUCUAUCCUGGUGGCUAAGCAGAUUAGUAACCCAGGAAGCCCCUACAACCUGGCCUACAAGUACAACUUCGAAUACGCCGUCGUGUUCAACAUCGUGCUGUGGCUCAUGAUCAUGUUGGCUCUCGCCGUCAUCAUCAUCUCAUACAACCUGUGGAACAUGGACCCGGGCUACGACAGCAUCAUCUACAGGAUGACCAAUCAGAAGAUCCGCAUGGACUAACCGUGCAUUCCAUCGCAGUGUUGUUGUGUGUGUGUGUGUGUGUGUGUGUGUGUGUACACAGGUUUCUCACUUCCAUCCAUCCCAUACGUCAAGUGUUUGUGUGUGUGUGUAUAUAUAGCUCUAAAACGUCAGUUUGUGAAUAUUUAUUGAUGCCUGCUAUUUUGUUGAAAAUCUAAAUGAAUACGUAUAUGAUAUACACACAGCGGAUGAAUGAAUUCGAACGAAAUUGCGCUCACGUGUGGUGUUGUGUUCCUGAUCUAGCUACAUGUUGAAUCAGCUGUAUUUAUUAUUGUUUUGUUUUUUUAUUCCUGAUACACUGGACCAUAAUGUCUGAUACUGAUGUAAUGGGGGUGGGGUGAUGCACAAAAAUUGCAUGCAGUAAAACUUCACCUAGGUGUGAUGUUAAAACUAGGAGAUCGUUGGCGUGGUUUUAUUUGGAAAAGUCAGAGACAGUUGGUUAAAAAAAUGUUAGAAAUAUAAUUGUUUGAUCUGACAUGCAGCGAUUGAAGG